AAGCUCCAAUGACUAGCAUCUUAGAUGCCCCUCAGCCACAUCGUCGUGUGAGUAAGCUUCAACUGAAUAGAUCUAGAAGGGGAGCUGGCCAUGGAAUUCGGAAGGACAAAGACUCAAGAACAGGGUAGAUGCCGACAUUUCUAUAUCAAUAUGU